AGAUAAUGGGUCCAUAUUGUCCUCUAUUAGAUAGGUAUAAUCAGUAAGAUAAUGGGUCCAUGUUGUCCUCUAUUAGAUAGGUAUAAUCAGUAAGAUAAUGGGUCCAUAUUGUCCUAUAUUAGAUAGGUAUAAUCAGUAAGAUAAUGGGUCCAUAUUGUCCUCUAUUAGAUAGGUAUAGUCAGUAGGAUAAUGGGUCCAUAUUGUCCUCUAUUAGAUAGGUAUAAUCAGUAAGAUAAUGAGUCCAUAUUGUCCUCUAUUAGAUAGGUAUAAUCAGUAAGAUAAUGAGUCCAUAUUGUCCUCUAUUAGAUAGGUAUAAUCAGUAAGAUAAUGGGUCCAUAUUGUCCUCUAUUAGAUAGGUAUAAUCAGUAAGAUAAUGGGUCCAUAUUGUCCUAUAUUAGAUAGGUAUAAUCAGUAAGAUAAUGAGUCCAUAUUGUCCUCUAUUAGAUAGGUAUAAUCAGUAAGAUAAUGAGUCCAUAUUGUCCUCUAUUAGAUAGGUAUAAUCAGUAAGAUAAUGGGUCCAUAUUGUCCUCUAUUAGAUAGGUAUAAUCAGUAAGAUAAUGGGUCCAUAUUGUCCUCUAUUAGAUAGGUAUAAUCAGUAAGAUAAUGGGUCCAUAUUGUCCUCUAUUAGAUAGGUAUAAUCAGUAAGAUAAUGGGUCCAUAUUGUCCUCUAUUAGAUAGGUAUAAUCAGUAAGAUAAUGGGUCCAUAUUGUCCUCUAUUAGAUAGGUAUAAUCAGUAAGAUAAUGGGUCCAUAUUGUCCUCUAUUAGAUAGGUAUAAUCAGUAAGAUAAUGGGUCCAUAUUGUCCUCUAUUAGAUAGGUAUAAUCAGUAAGAUAAUGGGUCCAUAUUGUCCUCUAUUAGAUAGGUAUAGUCAGUAGGAUAAUGGGUCCAUAUUGUCCUCUAUUAGAUAGGUAUAAUCAGUAAGAUAAUGAGUCCAUAUUGUCCUCUAUUAGAUAGGUAUAAUCAGUAAGAUAAUGAGUCCAUAUUGUCCUCUAUUAGAUAGGUAUAAUCAGUAAGAUAAUGGGUCCAUAUUGUCCUAUAUUAGAUAGGUAUAAUCAGUAAGAUAAUGAGUCCAUAUUGUCCUCUAUUAGAUAGGUAUAAUCAGUAAGAUAAUGAGUCCAUAUUGUCCUCUAUUAGAUAGGUAUAAUCAGUAAGAUAAUGGGUCCAUAUUGUCCUCUAUUAGAUAGGUAUAAUCAGUAAGAUAAUGGGUCCAUAUUGUCCUAUAUUAGAUAGGUAUAAUCAGUAAGAUAAUGGGUCCAUAUUGUCCUCUAUUAGAUAGGUAUAAUCAGUAAGAUAAUGGGUCCAUAUUGUCCUCUAUUAGAUAGGUAUAAUCAGUAAGAUAAUGGGUCCAUAUUGUCCUCUAUUAGAUAGGUAUAAUCAGUAAGAUAAUGGGUCCAUAUUGUCCUCUAUUAGAUAGGUAUAAUCAGUAAGAUAAUGGGUCCAUAUUGUCCUCUAUUAGAUAGGUAUAAUCAGUAAGAUAAUGGGUCCAUAUUGUCCUCUAUUAGAUAGGUAUAAUCAGUAGGAUAAUGGGUCCAUAUUGUCCUCUAUUAGAUAGGUAUAAUCAGUAAGAUAAUGAGUCCAUAUUGUCCUCUAUUAGAUAGGUAUAAUCAGUAAGAUAAUGGGUCCAUAUUGUCCUCUAUUAGAUAGGUAUAAUCAGUAAGAUAAUGGGUCCAUAUUGUCCUAUAUUAGAUAGGUAUAAUCAGUAAGAUAAUGGGUCCAUAUUGUCCUCUAUUAGAUAGGUAUAAUCAGUAAGAUAAUGGGUCCAUAUUGUCCUCUAUUAGAUAGGUAUAAUCAGUAAGAUAAUGGGUCCAUAUUGUCCUCUAUUAGAUAGGUAUAAUCAGUAAGAUAAUGGGUCCAUAUUGUCCUCUAUUAGAUAGGUAUAGUCAGUAGGAUAAUGGGUCCAUAUUGUCCUCUAUUAGAUAGGUAUAAUCAGUAAGAUAAUGAGUCCAUAUUGUCCUCUAUUAGAUAGGUAUAAUCAGUAAGAUAAUGAGUCCAUAUUGUCCUCUAUUAGAUAGGUAUAAUCAGUAAGAUAAUGGGUCCAUAUUGUCCUCUAUUAGAUAGGUAUAAUCAGUAAGAUAAUGGGUCCAUAUUGUCCUAUAUUAGAUAGGUAUAAUCAGUAAGAUAAUGAGUCCAUAUUGUCCUCUAUUAGAUAGGUAUAAUCAGUAAGAUAAUGAGUCCAUAUUGUCCUCUAUUAGAUAGGUAUAAUCAGUAAGAUAAUGGGUCCAUAUUGUCCUCUAUUAGAUAGGUAUAAUCAGUAAGAUAAUGGGUCCAUAUUGUCCUAUAUUAGAUAGGUAUAAUCAGUAAGAUAAUGGGUCCAUAUUGUCCUCUAUUAGAUAGGUAUAAUCAGUAAGAUAAUGGGUCCAUAUUGUCCUCUAUUAGAUAGGUAUAAUCAGUAAGAUAAUGGGUCCAUAUUGUCCUCUAUUAGAUAGGUAUAAUCAGUAAGAUAAUGAGUCCAUAUUGUCCUCUAUUAGAUAGGUAUAAUCAGUAAGAUAACGGGUCCAUAUUGUCCUCUAUUAGAUAGGUAUAAUCAGUAAGAUA